GAGCCAGAGCCUGUCCUGGGCUGGUCACACUUUCAGUGCUUCCCUUUGGGUGGCAUUUUGUAAACGAAAAGAGAAAUACUCAGCAGAGAGCUCAGGGGGUUGGAAUAUGUCAGUAAACCCCAGGAGAAGCAAAAGGGGUUCAGUCUGGAGGGAAGUUUUACAUUUUGUCACAUCACUUCUACCUACUUUGUUUGCUCAUUUUUUCCAGUAAGUGCUAUUCCAGAAAUCAGUUUGAUUCCCAUUUUAACCGUGCUCCUGCAGAAAGCUCUUUGACAGCCGUGGAGUUGCUCCUGGUUUCAGGAGAGCACAGGAAGCUGCUGUUUGUUCUGAGCAGGAAGGAACCCAGUGCUUUCAUGCAUUCACUUUUCAAUAGACCCGUGAGUGAGCAGGACAAGGUGCAGCAUCUUGGAUUCCAAGGCAGCAUGCUUGUGGAAAGAGGAGAAGGCAGCAAUUCUGCAGACAGUAAGUUUGGGGAAGAGGAGAACAUUUAAUCACAGAGUGUGAGGAGAGGAGAAUCGAUGCAAAAAAGACAAGCUGAUAGAAAACAGGGUUUCCAAGGCAAAGAGAUAGAGAGCAGUAUUUCUAUAUUACAGAAACAUCAUGUUCUUUCUUUAAAGAUGUUGCCAGAACUCAGCUGUGGGGCUGGACCGUCUUAAGAACUCACUGGAAAUUUGGCCCCCAGAACCUUUUUUCGUCACAAUGACCUCUAAGUAGUUAAAAAAGUCAAAUAGUUGAAUGUGGCAAGUGGUUGGAACAGGGUUGGUUCCUUAAAAUAGCAAGGGCUGGGGCCUUGAUCUUAAAGUUACUCACUUCUGGUAUUCCCCAAAGUCAGCCCCCAGUGGAAAGAUGCUGUCUCAUGUCAGGGCAGGAGUAACAGCAGCACCUAUCACCGAGUUCCCUGCUCACUGUCAGGUAAUUCCCAGUGUCCAGCAGCUGAUGCAGGAGGAGGGGAGAGUAUUAAUACACAGCCCGCUGGAUUGAGAGAGAAUUCAUGGCAAGCAGAGCAGCCUGGACUGGGAAGGAAGAGCCCACUCUGCUCUUCGACCACUCCUUUUCCCACCCUUCCCAGGCAUUCCGUGCUGGCUCUCAGAGGUGACAGCUGCCCAGGGUGAGGCAGUGACAGUCACAGGGCCUUAAGUAACACAUGUAGCCAAGGGACUGUACUAGCAACAACCAGCCUGGUAGUGGGGGUAAGAGCCCACGUUUGUGAGCCAGACAGCUCAUUUUAUAAACAAAGGUAUUGCUGAACUACCUGAACACAACCAAAACCCUUCGUAAGGAUGGAGAAGAGAGCACUCCCAGCACAUGUUAGAGCAAGACAUCAACUUAAUUAAACAUCACCUAAAACUGUUGCCGUGUCCUGUGCACCAGAGAGAGGGUAAGUACCAGAGCAAGAACAAGAGUUCAGCUUAACUUACUUGGUUAAAUUCCUCGGACAAAACAGGCACCUGAACAUCUACUCCCUAACUAAAAAUGGUGGUCUUUGGGAUUUUUUUCUGAACGAAACUUCAUAGAGAGUAAAGCACAGAAGCUGGGCCAUGCCAAAACUUGCCUGCCUUUCUCAUUGUAGCAGAUCUAAUCAAAGGUAGCUCUAAUUCAAAGUGUAAUCUUGCUGAGAAGUUGUUCUAAAUAGGAUUUUGAGUACAGCAGAGCACCUGUGCACUCAGAAGAGGGAUUGGUAGCAUGCCCAGCCUUCUGUUUGCAGGCUUUAUUUCUGAUCCUGUGGUUGGCCCUGGGCUGUCUGGAGGAUAUGCUGUAGAUCUGUGCACUUCUGAUUGAUGUGGCAAUUGCCAUUUCCAGCCCUUCACUGCUGUUCUUUGUACUGGUAUAGUUCACACCUUCUCUAAACCCCAGGGCACCUGUGGAUUCAAGGGUUCUGUGAAAGGGCACAAAACUACCCUUCAGUUAAAGCCUUAAAUACACUCCAUAUAUGUAUUUUGAAGAGCCUGGGAGUAUUAACUACUUUGCAGCAUCUGAGAGGGAGCUGGGUGCUGGCACAUCGUUCUGGGGUCUGGUUUUGGAGGCACCAGUUCAGUCUCCUGUUGGGACCAAAUCAUGGUGUAUAAAUAGUUAAAUUCUGUGUGGUGGAGACAGACCAGCACAGCAGCAGCAGGCUGAUUUCAGGGCCUGGAUGUAGAACACUGGGAGAUGUGCUUAGAGGUUUUUUCUCUUUUUCAAUCAGGCCAGAAGUCUGAGUGUGUGUCCCUUGUGCAAGGUCAGUGACAUAACUAAUGAAUGAAUAUCUGAGAGAGUUUUUCUCUGUUUUUCCGCUGAAAAAUGAAUAGGGAAGGAUCUAAUUUGUGUUUCAAUGCAGUUUAAAAAAAACCUGUCAAAAUCUGCCUAAAGACAGCAGCAGAAAGGAUUCCUUUCCCUGGGCAUCUGUCAAGUGCAGGUGCCACAGAGGCUAAAAAGUGCCACUGAGGACUAAUUAACGCAAAGCUGAGGGCAAGAAACAUUACAAGUCUCUUUACUUGAAUAAAAGGAUGCGUUUGAUGAUUUCAGGAUGUGAAGAGAUACAAAUAACUAAGGCUUGAAAGGCCCCAGUUUUGGUGCUUUGCUGAUCCCCUCUCUGCAGUGGGUUUCCAAGAGGUGCACUGUGAGUAUUCCUCUCCUCUGUAGCUGAAUGGGGAUCUCGGUGUUUGAGUCUCUCCACAUUCACACCUUUCUGUAAAGAGCUUCCCAGUUAAGACCAGCUUUUCACACAUGACAAGGCAGAGCUACUUUGCGUCCCACGAGUCUUACGCUGCCUGCCAGAAGGAUGUGAGGGGGGUGUUUGGCAGCGUGGAGGAGCCCCGGGGGAUGAGGAGGAUGCUGUUUGCUGUUUUCAUUAAGAGGCCUCAGCAGCUCACACUACUCAUCUCUGAGGAGGAGUAGCUGGCACAAAGAUCCAAGCAUUGUGAUGGUGAGAGGAGAAAGCAGGUGAGGCUUCUCUUCUGUUGGAUCCUUUCACCACUCUGCUGCUCCCUGUCCCUCUGCCCGUCCCUCCACUGCCUGGUGCUCUGCCCUGCCUUCCCCUUCCCAAAUCUUCUCACCCUGCCCCCACAAGAAACCCUGAGGUUCUUACCACAUGCUAUUUAUCCUGUUAAAAACACUGACAACACGUGCCACUCCUCAAAAUCUGUCAUUUACAGGGUCUGAAACUCUGCUUCCUCCGUCCUCUUGAUUUCUUUCCCCUUAGCUUUUGUGUCCCCCUUCUGUGUGAGACCCAUUCCUGGGGCACAGCCAGCAGCUGGAGCAAUAGGCAGUGUUACUGGGAGCAGUGCCCUGGUGACUGGGAGGCUCUUCAAAGCAUUAACAAAUUAAUCCUCACUAUGUCACUGAUGGUAGAUGAGCAUUGCCUGCCUGGUUUUAGGCCUGAAAACAUGGCAGUAUAUAAUUUGCCCAAGGCCACAAAGUUGAUGGAUGACAGGGAAACCUUAGGUCCAAGGGUGAGUUCCCUGAAUGACAGUGAUGACAGUCUGUGGAUGAAGGAUUUAUGGCCAAAAUUACAAGGAGAGCUCAGAGAGCCUCACGCUCGCUCCCUGCCUGGCCUGUAGCACAUCACACUUUGUGGCCUCUGCUCACAUUCCAAGUCCUCCUCACAGGAGCCCUUCUGCUUCCCAAGCCAGUGGAGAAGAGGCAGUGUCCCAAGUGUGUUCCCUCUGAAAAGCAAGUUUCCCAUCCAUCCUGGCAACGGGAACUCUGCAGCGGUUCCGAAAUUUGAGAAAAGCCACAUCACACCAUUCCGAGGGCACGUGCAAAUAUCCUGGAGUUCUGAAGGUCACCUAGUUAAUUAUAUUAGCUAGACCCAAAUUCCUGCAUCUGUCAGCAGUUCAAAGGCAAUACAGCUGGAAAACAUUAGCACUGUGUUGUCUUUGUACCUCUGCAAAAAAGGCAAAUAAUAAUAAAAAAGAGAAAACCACCACCAAAAGUCCUUCCCGGAAAACCCCAAACCCAAAGUUACUAGAGGGUUUUUUCACUUUUUUUUCCCCCACUGAUACUGACCUGCAAGUGCAGAAAGAACCUGAUCUGAUGUUUAGAUGCCAGAUGAAUCUUCCUGAGCUGGCAGUUAGACAAACUGAGGAGAUUUGAGACGGUGAUGAUUGAUGGAGAAGAUGUAAUUACAGGGGUUUGGGUUUGCAGUGACUUGGUUAAAAUGUAAUGCUACAGAGCACAGUCUGAAGUCCAACAAAGGGUUCUGUUGCCUAUUUUUGCAUAAGUGAUAUUUUUUAAGCUAAGGGCUGACAAAGUUUGAUGACCAGCCCAAGGGGAGUUAGGGGAAAUAAAAACUUAUAUCCUUCACCCUCUCAUUAGCAUCUGCUUGCAGAGCUCAGUGCUGGUUUUUUAUGACCUUUAGGAACAGUGGCCUGGAUAACAGAGUUCAGUAUAUUCUUAUUUUUAGCAGUUAGUUCCCUCCAUUUGCUACACUUGCCUCCUUUUUCCGAGAGGCAGGAUUUACCUACACAAGACAUGAAGUAAAUCUCUUCAGUUUGGGGGAGCCUGUGCUUUUGCAGGAGCUAUGGAAAAAAAUCAAGGCCCACGUUACUCCUGCUCCUCAAAGAAAAUUAAAAGAUACGAAUGGGAGGUAAACUGAACCAAGUUUGGAUUUACAGUGCAGAGCUUCUUAGGGUCUAAGUGCCUUUGAGAAAAUUCACAGUUUGGGAUGCCCACAGCACAGCUUGUAGGGCUGCAGUGAAGUCAUUUGAGCUGUGCAGAAAUGGAUUUGACCAGAACUGCUCAUUUUCAUAAAAUAGUGCAGACUUUAUGUUUUACUCUGUGGCAGGAGUCUGAUGUGAUCAGCUGUCCCACCACCACAUGAAAACAAGCCCAGAGGAAGCAUUCAUCAUUUCUGCAGCAAUUUAUUGCAGUACCCACUUUUUAUUGUUGUCAGCAGUGAUUAUGAUGAUGAAAAAUUUGAGCACAACCUAGAUAAAUGAAUGCAUAGUUUUAUCUAUGAUAAAUGCAUAGUUUUAUCUAUACCAUUCAUUUUGCCUCACUGCUGCCAGCCAGUCUGUCUCCCCUCAGGAGUCAGCGUAGGUCAGAUGAGUGAGGAAUGAGAUGCUUUUGAUUCCUAACUCAGGAUAACAUUUGAGAAGUUUCAGGAAUACUUCUUACAGAUGAGCUGCAACUUCUCAUAAGAGUUUGGUUUCAGGGAAUGAAGCAGCAGUUAUGAAGAGAGAAAAUGGAAGCGUGAGGGAGAGAAAUAUUGCGUUCACAUCUUCCAUUUCCUCUUUAAACUGUAAUUUUCCCCUUCUUUCUCCCUUGCAGUCAAAUAAUAAAGUGGGAAUUUAGUGACAGGUGACAGUACAGAGAUGAUACAGGCACAGCAUAGGCUUUCUCAUCCCCUUCUGCUACACAUAUCUUCUUUGAGCUGCACUUAACCAUGUGAGCUAUCACAGAGUCUGAAAGCAGAGGAAAGAUCCAGAAUAGCUCAAGCAGUUUGUAGGCAUUGUAAAUAAAACAAACCCAGCUUUCAUUUAGAAAAAGAAGGCCAUUUUCAGAAACGUGUGAUGAACCUAGAAGUAUUUCUGGUGAGUAUAGGACUCAUUCUCUAAGUUGGGAUGUCACAGCUGAGGCAGCACCAGAAAUCACAGCACAUGAAUAAAAUGCUUCUGUAACUAAUGGAGCAGGGAGCUUAGAGAAGUGCUGAGCAUCAGUGGUGUAAAGGCUUAGUACGGGCUUGGGACAAUAAGAGACUUGGAUGUGACGCAGUCCCUGGGACCAAUUUGGGGCUAUAAUCAGUGAUUCGUGCUGAGAAAAAAUUCUGUUGAAUGUAAUUCCAGCCUGACAGCAAAAUGAUGCUGAGGAUGCUUGUAGGCACGAGCGAGGAGCUUAACACUUGCAAGGGAUUUAGAGGUGCUGUCGCUGUCAAGCCGGGUCUGAAUUCCCACACGCACUUUCACCCAUCUCCUCCUACUUAAGUAUUUCCACAUCCCACGGGAUCAGGCAUUUUGCUGUUUCUGCAAUGUCUUUAUUGGUAAGUGUUGUCCCUGCAAGGGGCUUUCUCUUCCAUACUGAAAUACUGUCUGCCCAGGAGCCCAGCCAGAGAACCUGGACACCGCUCAAAAUUCCAGUGACUUAAUGUCCAGAAUCUGCAACAGCUUUUUUGGUGCCUUCCAAUUGUCAGGCAAGGCCAUAAAUGCCAGCCUCUAAAAAGUGUAAUUGAGAGUCUCUAGUGCAAAGACCUCAGAGAAAUGGCAAUUUCUUUUCAAUGUGCUUGAAAUAAAUGCACAAAACCUGCCGUGUGCAAUUCAGUCGUGACACUCAGGUAAUGAAACACGGGCCAGGGAAAUUUAGAGCAGAAGCAAAGACCUCUAGGCAACAAUGUAAUAUAAUACAGCAAAGAUAUAACUCAAUUGGAAAUAGCCAGCUGGCACUAAUGGCUCAUUCGUUUAGACUCAUAUUUCUGGGCUGUCUGGCUUUCGGUGAGAUGGGAGCAAGGAAAAUCAGGCCUGGCUGCCAGUGGCUAUCAAUAAAAGCACUGUUAAACAGAACCAUUGCUCUGCGGCUCGGGAGGCACUGCAAACCACCUUGAUCAUUGGAAAUGGUUUUAGGAAACUGCCAAGGAUCUGAGCUUUGUCUUCUCGGGUGCUCGACAGAUUCCUAAAACCUUUAAACACUGCUGGCGAUGGUGGGAACAGACACAUCCCUGCACAUGGCACAUGCAGAGCUCUGCUGGGCACACGGGGGAAGCCUCAGCUGUGCCUGGGCUAGACCAACAAAACUUGUUUUUAAAGCAAAAGGCGAGACCUUGCUGUGCCUGACAACACCCCUUGAAAUUUAACCUCCAUGCAGCUGUUACUGCGGUGCUGGUGGUUGUAAUAACUUUAACAACGUUAUUGCAACAGUAACAAAGAAAGAUACAACAAACCGAACAGAACCAAACCCAAACCCCACAACAAACAAGCAAAAAACCCCAAACACCUGCAAAACACCCAGGACUGUUUUUCCACAGGUUCAAGGCCAGUGUUCUUGUGGAAAAUAAGUGGAACAGUGCUGAAGUUGGCAAGCCCAAGUCCAGAGCCGUGAGAUGUGCUGGUGGAAGCAGUGGGUACUUCCCAUCUGCCCAGGUAUCUGUGGCACCCUGGUUGCAGCUGUGCCGGGGAGCUGAAGGGACACAAACCUCCUGCCCGAGAUGGAUUAAGUUGCUGAAUGUUGGAGAGAAUGACCCAGAGCUCUUGUAAGCCAAACACAAAGAGGGAGUGAACAUGUCCUGUGGUACUAGUUAGAAAUUACUCAUAAAGAACCAGGGGACUCCUUCCACUGCACCAGGUUGUUCCAAGCCCUGUCCAACCUGGCCUUGGACACUGCCAGGGAUGGGCAGCCACAGAUGGGCAACCUGUGCCAGGGCCUCCCCACCCUCACAGGGAAGGAUUUCUUCCUAAUAUCCCAUCUAUCCCUGCCCUUUGUCAGUUUGAAGCUGUUCUCCCUUGUCCUGUCACUCCAGGCCCCUGUAAAAAGCCCCUCUCCAGCUCUCUUAUACCUCCCUUAGCUGAAGUACCCUCACAUAUAUAUAUAUAUUCAUUUAGUAAGGUUUUUUUCAUUAUUAUUAUUAUUAUUAUUUGCCUUUCUAAAGAGCUAAUAGAACCACACUUUGUGGUGAAUCAUCCAAGAAUAAUGGAGUGGUUUGAGUCGGCCCUUUUGAGGUUGAUUUAGUCCUGUCCCUCAUUUUGGGGAUUGCCUGCAGCUGGGGCAGAGAGUGCUGGGUAAGGUACCAGCUGCUCCCUAUUCCCCAUCAAGGUUUGCUUGGAAGGCAAACAGAUCAGGGUUUCUGGAGGGAGAGGGUCACACAUCUUCUGGUGUCUGUUUAGUGCCCCUCUGCCAGGGAAGAUUUGCAGCGAGCAGAGGGGCAAUCUUCAGGAAUUCCUGGGGGAAUUGGAGUGUUUCAGCCUUGGAUGGAAUGAGCGGAUUUUCCUGCGAGCUGUCUACAAACUGUGAGUACUGGCCUGGGGGCCUUUUUGUACCCUGUGGAGAUAUGUAGGACUGGGAAAUGGCAUAUCUGGGGAGCUGGGGGAUGCUGCCAGAAGCAGGUGAAGCUCUGUGGAUGUGUUUUAUUUAAGAGUUGUUGUGCUGAUGUGAGCUCCUGGUAGGAAAGCACUGGUCUGAUCCUGCUUUGUUGUAAGAACUUGGAUAAAAAGCAGUUUUGUGGCCCCUGGGGGGGGGCAGGGAUGGGCUGUGGCUUUAAAUAUUACACAGCAAAGAAAAAUACUUGGAAGUAAUGGACCAGUGAGUGUGGUUUGGUUUGUUUUCUCUCUUGUGCUGUGAGGAAGAGGCUUUAAUUUUAAAAGCUGUCUUUUAAGCACAGAAAAUGGAACAGCAGUUUGCCAGGCCAGCUUCCCCCUGUGCUAGCACACAGCUGCCCUUCACGUUCAACUGGAGCACAUGGAGCUUUGGCUAAAUGAUGUGUCUCAAUUUUGGGGGGAACUCUGUGAAAAUAGCUUGUGGAUGGAUGUUUUUCUUGUCUUGGAAAUACUCUGAGAACUCAGGAGGGCAGACCUAAAUGGAUUGUUGUUGGACAACGAUUUUGUGGCGGUUUUGCCUUAUUGUGAGCUUAGAGAAAUUGAAGGUGUAGUUGAACCUUUCUGGAACAUGAAUUGGGCUUUUCUUCCAGGGCUGCCAUUAAAUAGGGGCACAUCCUUUCCACCUGUGGGGAGGGAUAAGGGAGAGGCAAAGUGAAACUUGGCUUUGCAUCCCUUCCCUUUCCUGUUGUAUUUUCAAGUGAUUUGUUUGCUUCUGGUCUUGGUCUAACAGACUCAAAGAAACUAAAAAUAUUUAUCAGAAUAGUUGUGUAAUGUCAUUGUGCCUGAGAUGUGAUGUAUCACGUACUACAGAGGUGUAUGAGGAAAAAGGGGAAUUUCUGAAUGAGUAUCAAUUGAAUUUGGAUCAGCAAAUGAUGUCACUGUGAUGCUUGAUCUUUAUUUUUUUAGUGAAUUUAUGUAUAUUCAUAAAAGAUGGAUUUGUGGAAAAUGAAAUUAAGAACUGUGUCCUCAGUCUCCACUCAAAAUUAACCUGUUGAUUUCUAUUGGAAAAUUAUCAAAUCUGUGGAAUCAUAACCCAGUCUCCCAAAAUGUAACAGUUUUUCUUUCUGUGUAUUUCUCAUUUUACGUAACUUUAUAUAAACUUAAUUGUUGUUGUAGAAAGGCACAGGAAAAGCAGCAACAGAAAACAUCUUUGGAAUAUAUCUUAACUAUAGAUUUUCUAUACAGGGAUGUUAAAAAGCAACUGUAACUCCCAUUUGCCAGUGUGGUUAAUGAAGCACUGACCGGUUCAUCUGCAGCACUUUUGCUUUGGUAUAAAAACCCUUCUGAAGGAUCAGGUUGGAUCCAGUGGGCUUGGGCUGUGUCUGUUACCCUUAGAAUCAGGUCAAGGAUGGGAAUAGAGGAGCGCUCUGAGUGUAAAUAAAUACACACGUAGGUCAGUUCUAAAAUUUGCAAUAACAGGUAGGAAGUUUGGUGCUGAUACUGGACUGUCUGCCUGCAAAAAACUUUUGGGAGUUGUGCUGGCUUUCUUCUGUUAAAUACUGAUGAUUUGCUGCACUCUAGUGGCUGUUGGAUAGGAGCCUUGUGCAGGGUCAGUUGUGCUUGGAGAAAGCUGAGAGGUUAUUUGUACCUGACCUCAGAGAGGUUCAACCAGCUUUUAUCAAUUUUAUUGUAGUUGCCUCCAUUUUUGCUUAUUGCAUAAUUUAGGCUGCUGAACAGGAGGCUGGGACUGAUCCCUCUUCUUUGCUUUAUUCCAAGAAUAGUCUUUUCAGUGUCUUGAAUUCAUAUAUUUCUCUGGAUCUGUCUUCCUUUCCCAUGGCAUUCCCCCUCUCAGCUUUAAACCAGGAUCCUGUAGAGUUAGGAGGGCUGGGAGCAACCUGUGUUAUGUGUGCCUGGGAUGAAUGGCUGGAAAAUCAUGUUCCUGCCUUGUCAGCAAACCACUGACUGAAGGCAGAGGGGCUCUGUGCUCUACAUUUGUUUCUCUAACAGUUUAAAAUGUGCCUGGAAAAAGAACAGGCUGUCUCCAAGAUGGCACUUCUCCCACGUCAUCUCCAAAGCUUUGGCCCAGGUUGCAGUCUGUGCUGUAAUUGAGGUUUUCUUUGGGGAUUUACAGAGUGAGGGGGGUGUCAUAGGCAGAACAGGACCUUCAGACACAAUUCAUUAGAGGAGCUUCCUUUGAGUCACGGGGUGCAGAAGGACCCCUUGGCUUUCUAAACUUCUCAGAGAGGGGUCUGGGUGUGGCUGUGGGUCCAGUCUGAGCUUUGUCAAUGGUUUAUGUCUAAAGGAUUAUACAGGGGUAAUUGAACCCUUCUACAACUUUUCCCCACAGGAUUAAGGAUAGCAGAGCAAAUUUAUAUAUGAAACAAAUGAUUUACUAUGAUAAUAGUUAGACUAAAAGACCAUAAUAAGAAUUAUUUACUACCCAGUCCAAAUAGCUAGAACUGCUAGUGCAGUGCCCUAUUUUUGCAGGAAUAUCGAAGCCAUGAUAUUAAAGCCAGCAAAACCAAUUAUUGAGUAGAGAUUGGUGUGACUCAUUCUUUCCAACAACUGUGGGACAACCUUCCUCAGCUUGAGGAGUGACCUUGAGGGGAAACCCCACUCCAGGGAGGAAUCUCCACACACACCCCUGGAAGGGGGAUGUCACAAGAUCCCACUGUUCCAAAGUGGGACUGGACUUUAUUGUAUAGAGUGAUUGUCAGGUGUGUGUCCAGGCCAGCCGUGUCAGCUCAGCUUUAGAUAAGUUAUCAGUUGUAUGACUUAUUUAUUCCUUUAUCAGGCAUUUUAUCAGCUCUGCCACAUCUUCACCUCACUGUGGGGGAUGUUUAACUUUGGGAUUGGUGAGUCAGGCUGGUUUGAGCUUUCUUAGACCUCAAAAGCAGUGUGACACCCCCCACCCCACUUUUCUGUUCACCACUGACAGCUUUCCAAAUUGGGAGUUCAAGUUGUUUUACCCCCCUUCCAGGCCGAGCAUCCUGCUAUAUGGACUGACUCCUCUUAUUUGCAUUACUUAAAAGACUUUUCCUUUAAGUCCCUUGGAUUCAUGUAUUUCUCUGUACCUCUCUUCCUUGACCUUGAUACUCUCCAGCUCAGAGUUAAGCCAGCAUCCUGUAGAGGAGGGAGAACUGGGAGCAACCUGUGUACUCUGUGCCUGGGAUGAGGGGCUGGAAAAUUAUUUGACUGUCUUGCCAACAAGUCACUGAGUAAAGCCAGUGGGGACUAUGCAGUUGUAGCACUUGUUUCUGUGAGCCUGGAAACAGAAUGGGCUGUCUGCAAUGUUUUCCCAUGUCCUCUCCCCAGCUCCGGUUAAUGUUGAAGGCAGUGAUGUAACUGAGACUUUCUUUUGGGGGUGGGAAGGUGUCACAGGCAGAAUGAGAGUUCAGACAGACUUGUAGCCCUGCUUUCACAGCCACUUUUUUCAGAUUUAAUCCCAUUAUUCUGACGGCUCCUGUGGAGUCAUGUUGACUUGAGCACACAGAGCUGAAACUGUAGCAUGGCAACGAGAUAAUUCUCAUGGUCAGCCACAUGCUGGAACACGAAGAGCCAAGAGGGAACACUGGUUAAUGAACUGGAUUGAGAUAUUUGUGUGUUUAUUUGGUCUUUUUAAACGAAGUUUUAAUUUAAUUUAGUUUUAAGGGAGUUAGAUGACAGGGUAGCUCAGCUUUAGCCUUAAGCUCAGCAAGAACAAUGUUGGGCAUCAUGGUAUUGAUUUAGUCAAUGGACAAAGCUGGUGUCAGACUUAAUAAAAAAAGCUUAAGUUUAAGCAAAAAGGUGUUGAUUUGAUGGAGUGGAUCUGACAAACAGGGGGAAAAGGGAGUCAGUUGGUUCUUGAAAUGAGUAAAAAGCCUUAUUAGACCUUCAGUGACCUGUAAAUGUCGUGUCUGGUCAGUGGGACAAAAGGGUCCAGGGCUGAGGUGGUGUGAGUGGGUUUGCUGUUUGAGGAUGGUUGUGUUGCUGCACGUCCUUGCUUGGGGUUGUUCUACCCAAAGAAUUGAGUUCUGGAUUCAGUCCUGGGUCUAAAUAUCCAUGCAGUGUGUAUGUGGAAUGAGUGUUACUCCUCAUAUCCUUACAGUGCAUCAGAAACAGGUUCUGCCAUAGCUCACCUUACUCCUUUACCUGUAGAGACCAAAUUAGAGCAAUAUAGCCAUGAUAGGCUCCUAGAUGUUUAAUUGCUCUCUGAUAGAGACCUGGGAAGAGGGUUAGGCCUUGGAAGACAAGCCAUCUCUGUGCAGGGGACUGAAAAAGUUGGCAAAAACUGAGGAUACAGCUGCUCUUCAUGGCACUGAUUGCACAGACAAAAAUCGCCACCAGUGACCUCUUUACCAGAUAUUCUGAGACCUGACAAGUGUUGUAGCUCCAGGCUGUUCUGAACUGCUGCUUCUCAUGCCAAGAGCUUGCAGCAGUUCCAGGGUUCAUAGCCAGGAUAAGGUAAAGGUGCAGGGGAAGCAGUUUGAAUUUUUUUUCCUCAGGGAAAUAUAUUAAAUUUGGAAGUUGCCCACUAUCAUAGGUCUGAAGUUCUAGGCUGCAGUGUGGGGAGCACACAGCUUGUACCUACAACUUGAGUGACUGCCCAGGUAUGGGAUGAGUUGUCAGAUGGAAAGUUGGGCUCUCUGUGUCUUCUGGCCCACUUAACUGUGUGUUGUGAAUCCAGCAUCAUUCAGGAAGUGCCCAGAGGUCCUGCCAGGGUGUUCCACCAGUUGUAGUCCAGUUUUAUGGAAUGUGAACUAAGACUAUCACUGGACACUAGAAGUAUCUGGAGUGACACACAGGAGAGGUUGCCAUUAGGGGUAAUCCACAGAAGGAGACAGUUCUCACAGGUGGCACGUGGCUCCCUUUGGUGGCAGCUACUGCCAGGAUCAUCAGAGAUGGUUAAAACUCACUGAUCAGCUCUGCUGGUCAUAGAGCCCAACUCUCUUUCAGGGUUAGCUGGGGAACAGAGGCAGGAGGGAGCAGAAACUGCUCAUAAAACUCAUUUUUGAGCUGCUUUACAGUCAGACUAAUAAAAGCUUGAUGAUAUAACUAACUAGCUUUUUUUAAUAAACCCCCUCAGUUUUAGAACUGGGUGAUAUUUAUUUAUAUGCAGAAAUAAAGGGUUUGGUUUUUCAAGACGGAAGGAAAGAGCGACUUUAGUUCCUGAAUUGUUGCUGCCACUUAUGAGGCCAUGAGAAGCACAACGUUAGUCCCUGGAUUUAAUCACUGGUUUGCUAAAAAAUAAAUGAAUGUGACUUCAGAAAAGGUGUUUACUUUAGGUGUUUAUGAGAACUGGCCAAGUCUUUCAGCAAAAUAGUGUUUGUAUUUGGAAGUGCUGAUAGUGUGGCUCAAACUGAGCAGUAUGGAGUUAUUCCCUAUUAUUCCCAUCUGUUAUUUCCCACUUGUCCUCAGGCCACUGUGAUGGUAGUGUGGUGCAGGGGGGUGCAAGUUCUUGAGGGGGCGUUGUUUGGUUGCUGUGUAGAGUUUUGAGUUGGAUUUGUUGUUUGAUUGUUGGACUCUCUGAUGGGAAAAAGAAGAGUAGGAGGAAAUAGUUGGUAGCUUUUGGUUUAAGUCCUCACCUUGACAGGUCUCGCUGCGUCUGUGACAAGGGAGUGAUGGCUUGGUGCCCUGUGUCCCAGGCUCUGGGUUUAUAUGGAAUAAACUUAAACUGGCAGCAGACCUCUUCCCAAUAUUUUUUGUGCGUGGUGUGAGUGUAAGAUGUGACAGGAUUUCACCCUAUAUUUUUCUUCCCUGUCUUUCUUCUGGUGAGAAACUGUUGGUAGUGGGCACUGGAAAAGACACCGACCGUAGCAAACAGUCUGAGGCACAUUUGAAGGAACCUCUGCUGUUUCCAGCCCAAUAAAAUAACUAGAAAACAAGGCUAGAUCUCCUUUGAGAAAUUAAUAACAACUACUCUUAAUAAAAAUUUUAUCAGCCUUAGAACCUAUCAAUAGUGCUGAAUGCAGAAUUAAAUAUGUCUUGAAGGGAGCUGGGUGCAGAGGAGUUGCACUUCCCUCAUCCUGCUGUGCCGGCAGUAAAAGCGAGUGAGCCACCAUUUCUACAUUUAACACUUGUACAUUUUUAUUUAGUUAAAUCAGCCAUUGUACACAUUGCAGCUAUGUAUUGUUAGUGUUGUAUCUUUUUAAUUUUUAACUAAUACAUGCCCUCAUAGAUAUAUUCAAUUAGUGUUAUCACCAUGGGAACAAGAUGCUGAUUCGUCAACUUAAAAUUCACUUCUUCUCACAGUAUUCAAGUUCUCCGAUAACACAGCAAAAAAUCAAAAUAAGAGGUGAAUAACCAUUAUGUUGUUACACAGAACAUCAUCUGCACCGCAAAUAACACAACAGAAAUGCAUUUCUUGAGAGCCCCAUCCUCGAAGACCCUCCCGCGCCGUCUCGGACGGCGGGGAAGCCACGAUGCGCUGUGAGAUGUGUCAUCACGGGUCUCAGUCGGUUUGGCUGCCAAAACACUUUUUUUCUUUUAGCUUUUUUUUUUUUUUUUUUUAAUUUUUUCUUACCUGCCCAAAAAAGUGUCAGCACGGCACCUCAGGUGGUUCUGCCCGCAGGAAGCCAGAACUGCAGAGAUGUUUCCAUGCUUUUGGCAUCAUUACCUUAAUGAGGAAGUGCCCUUGUUCUGAGCACUGAGUGAGUCGUUAAAAAAACAAAGAACCCUAUAACUGCAGAAGGCCAGAUAAGCUCGGACAAAGGAUUACUCCUAGAGGAGAGGGUUGGUUUUACUCUGGUGUCGAGUCUACUAUUAAAAAAAUGAAUUAACGGCUGUUUAAAAACAUUAAAUCAGUGUGUUUGUGUGUACGUGUGUGAUGCUAAAACCCUACGGAGCUCCCUCCAUUAAAUAUUAAGGUAUAGAACACCCAAAGCUUCAGAUCCCUAUGUUCCCUUUUCGGAAAAUAAAAGUGCAGACAUGCUAUCGUGGUUUUUCAGAGGGUCGGUUUAGAAAUAUAUAUAUUAUAUAUAGUUACAUAACAAAAUAUGAACAGAAACUGGCUGCCGAGGAUUGUGAGCAC